rnacentral:rRNA from 1 species
UACGUAGGGUGCGAGCGUUGUCCGGAAUUAUUGGGCGUAAAGGGCUCGUAGGCGGUUUGUCGCGUCGGGAGUGAAAACACCGGGCUUAACUCGGUGCUGGCUUUCGAUACGGGCAGACUAGAGGUAUGCAGGGGAGAACGGAAUUCCUGGUGUAGCGGUGAAAUGCGCAGAUAUCAGGAGGAACACCGGUGGCGAAGGCGGUUCUCUGGGCAUGUCCUGACGCUGAGGAGCGAAAGCGUGGGGAGCGAUCCGG